rnacentral:lncRNA from 1 species
GUAAUAUUGUUGAUGAUUUUAUUGAUCCAAACUUAUUUGAGACUAAGUCAUAGUUGUUGUUUAUAAUAUUGGUGGUAAUUUUAUUGAUCUAAACUUGUUUGCAUAGUUGUUGUUCAUGUAAUAUUGCUGAUGAUUUGAGGAUUGACAAUAAUGUUUUGGUUUCUAGUAAGCCUUAUGUGAGAUUUAUGCUCAGCUCAAACCUUUAGUUCUGCGGGGCAAACCAAACUUGUCCAGCUUUUGGAGGUUUAUAGGCUUGUUUUCAGUUUUGACAAGCCUUGCAUGUGUUCAAUUAUGUCUACUUUAGCAUGUUGUAUUUGCACAUAAAACAAGACAUUUAUGUCAGCAUUCUGUAAUUUAGGUAUGGUAAAGAAAUGGUGGAACCUUCGUCCCAAUCAAGACCAAGCCAAGAAAGGUCCCGAAGCACGGCUUCCUCAGAUUCCCUUGUGGAUCUUUCCAGGUCAGUGUCUUCAAUGCGAAGUAUAAAUUUUCCACCUUUCGACCUGUCAUAAUGACGUUGUUAAUAGCAAAAGAGUCGAAGUAAACAAAAGCGCCAAGUAAAUUGGAGAAGAAAACAAGGAAGGGGGACGGACCGCGCAUACAAGUAGUUAAAGAGUGCAGUUCUAGCGCCUCCGACGUGGAGAUUGCCGGUAGGAGACGGCGCAAAACGAACUCGGACAUCCCCUUCAUCCCCUGCUAAAGCAAAAACCGAAAAACUUCUUCUUCCUCUACUCCGGAAGCAGAGACUUUGCCGGUUGCCACAAUAUAAUAGUGACUGCCCAUUCGAGAUUAACCUUGCUCUUAACCACGGCGCCCCAGCCAGCGUAGCCAUUCCAGAUUUCUUUUCAAUCUUCAAUAUGUCGGGAUAACGAUGAAUUAGUUAUUCAAGGGACCCGAUUAAUUGACCCUCGGACCACUCCGCUCCGAACCCAAAUAUAAGUGAAUUUCAAAUUAUUUUUCAAAAAUUUAUUUUUAUUUUUUUAACUUUAGUUUCAACUUUAUUUAUUGUUAUAAAUAAUUUUUUUUAUUUAUUUUUCUAAAACAUUCUAUUUAAUUCCAUCCAAUAAUUGGAGUUAACUAUCUAAGUAUUACAUUACUCACUUCUUCCUAUUUUCAUCGAUAAAAGAUAUUAAAGUUCAAUUUCAAUUUUUCCUUCAACGGAAUCUUAAUAUGUUCAUUCUUACGAUUUUUUAUUCAACACUAAAAACAAAAACACCAUUAUUAUCUCCUCUCACAUUUGGUUGUAUCUUGUAGGUAAAUUAGUUAAGUUGGACAAUUUUGAUAAUUUUAGAAAAUUAAAAGUAUAAAAUUAUAUUUAAAAAAAUCUUUUCAAAAGUUUAACAAUAAUUUAAAAAGACAUGCUCAAACAUAACUCCUAUUCCAACUUCAAUUCUAAGAAAAUUGUAGCUUCAUGGUUAAACAUCUAUUAAAAAUAUAUUGUUACAUGUACACCGUUUUAAAUCUCAUUUAGUCGUUAUAAAUAAAAAUAUGAAAAUAAAUUGUUUAAUGAAUUUGUUUAUCAAUGGAUUAUUUGGUACAAAGACAAGUAAGGUAGGAAAUAGUAAUGCAAAGGAUUAGCAAUGUAGGAAUUAGUAAUGCACGAAUGAUAAAGCUUAAAUUACUUUUUAUCAAGUGCUUGAUUCAUUAUAUUAAAAACUAAAUAUAUCGUGUGUCGUGUUUGAUUUAAAACUCUACAACAUUCUCCUUUAUAAUUAUACCCUUUAAUUUUUGUGAGAUUGUCUAUCUCACUAAAUUUAGUCAAGUUAAAAACUAAAAUAUGAAUAAAAAUUUAUUACUAAUUUUAGGUGUAAUGUGUCACUACAAAAAUCCUUGAUAGAACAAUGUACUUUCAAUAUUUUUAUUGGCCAAAUAUGUCUUAAAUUUAUCAUAAAUUUAAGGUUACAUAAAUAUUUAAAUACCUUAAGUUUUUUUUAAAAAAAAAAAAAAAAAAGAGANNNNNNNNNNNNNNNNNNNNNNNNNNNNNNNNNNNNNNNNNNNNNNNNNNNNNNNNNNNNNNNNNNNNNNNNNNNNNNNNNNNNNNNNNNNUAAUAAUAAUAAUAAUAAUAAUAAAGCAAAUCAAAAUAGAGAAAAAAAAAUCAAACAUUAAUUUAUAAAAUCACCAGAUUACAAUGAAUCAGAUUUGGAGAAUCAAAAAGGACAUUUAUAACCAACUCAAUAUAAUUUAAAAAGACAUUAGAUUACAAAAGAAAUUUAGAUGGGGAAUUGAGGGAUAAUUUAGUCAUUUAGAGAUGUUAUUUAUGGAUUAUUAAAUCUUCAAUAAGUUAUUUUUUCAUUUGUUAAGAAUAAAAUAAGAUCUCAUACAGUGUAUAAAUAAUUUAUGCAUUAAAUUAAAAGAAGUAAUCAAAUAAUGUAUUGGAUAAGGUUAUAUUUUAAUUCAAAAAUUAUUCUAAUUAGUGCGGCCUAUCAAACGGAAUGUAAUUGUUAACGUUUAACACACAAAUAGAAAGACUCUGCAUGUGAAAAGGCAAACACCAUUUGUCUUCCUCAGAAAAUGUGAUCAUAACUGACGGACGCUAUUUAUUUUUUUAUUUUUAUUUUUUUGCUUUUAGAUAUUUGAAUAACUCCGACCAGCUAUGUUGUAUAAAGUAAAGUGUUGAUCAGUUAUGAACUCUCAUAUUCAAAAUUUAAAGGUGACGGAGAUAAGGAUAUUGCGAUGAAUGUGUGGUCAUACCAGGAAAGAUAGGGUGAGGAGUGAGAUUAUUCGAGAGAAGGUGUGAGUGACUUCGGUGGAGGAUAAUAUACAAGAAGUGAGGUUACGUUGGUUCGGACACGUGAUGAGGAAGGGUUCUGAUGCUCCAGUGCAGAGGUAUGAGACACUGGCUAUGGGUGAUUUUAGAUGGGGUAGAGGUAGGCCGAAGAAAUAUUGGAGGGAGGUGAUUAAGCAUGAUAAUGAGCAGUUACAACUUAUGGAGGACAUGAAGGAAGGUGUGGAGGAUACGGAUUAGGGUAGAGGGUUGGGGGAUGGGAGUGUGUCGAUAACAGUAGGGGACAUUCUUUAUUUGUGUCUGAAAUUUCUUGUUCGCGGGUUGAGUUUUAUCUAUGAUUUCGGAUAUAUAGUUUUUAGUAGUAUCUUGUGGCUCUAGUAUUAUCUUGUGGCUAGCGUUGUUAGUUUAUUUUGCUUAUACAAGUUUAUAUGCAUUUGUGUUUUGUGUUUGCUAUACCGUUAUUGGUUCUAAGCCGGGGGUCUAUCUAACACAGUCUCUCUACUUCACCUGAGGUAGUGGUAUGGUCUGAGUACACUCUACCCUUCCCAGACCCAACUAGGUGGGAAUACACUGGGUAUGUUGUUGUUGUAGAUAUUUGUAAUUUAAAUUCAUGAUACUAAUUAAGGAUUGACAUAUUUUGGUUCAAAUUGAAAAAAAAAAAAAAUCAAAACGAAAUUUAAUUUUAAUUUCAAUUUUUGAAUUUUUUGGAUUGAUUUCGAUUACAAAUUUUUGAAAUUCGAUUAAACAGUUUGAUUUUUUUUUUUCAAAAAAAAAAUAGUUAAAUCGAAAAAUCAAAAUUAUAUAAAUAGUAUAUAUAGUUUAUUUUAUAAUCUCUCUCUCUCACACACACAUAUACAUACAUAUAUAUAUAUAUAUAUAUAUAUACAUACAUAUAUAUAUAAUAUUUUCUUUUCUAUAUAUUCGAAGAGAUGGUUUCAACAUGUGAGCUUUUUGUCUUUAAAUUCAAUAUUGAGAGUAUUAAUGUCUUUAAAAUAAGUUCUAAGCUCAAUUUGAUAAUCUUUUGUGCUUUGUUUUUUUAACCUCCUUAAAUUUUUUAAUAAAAGCUAAUUUUUUUCUCUUUACUUACCAACAAUACCAUGUAAGAAAUUUACAAUAAUGCCAUCACAUGUGGCCUUGCAUAUAUUUCCACAUAUGUGGGCCCCCCUAUAUUCCAUUUAUUUUUCAUUUUUAUUUAUCUUUUUUUAUGUAUAAAAUUAUUUCAAAUAUAUUAUGUUUAAGUAAAUUGAUUAGUAAGAUGAUAAUUUAUUGUAAAAAUUAAUUAUUGAUACAAUUAAAUAAUUUUUAUUCUUUAUUUAAUUUCAUACCAAACAUAUAAUUUACUUUCUUUUUUAUUUGUUACUACAAUUUCACCUAAUUUUAUUUUAUUUUUUCUAAUAUAUAGAAAAGAAAAUUUCGAUAUGUCUGCUUAUGUUGUCUACUUCAACUGCUUCAAUCGUGACUUUAUUAUAUUGUUCCUAAUUAAUUAUUAUAAGUCAUUUAUAUAUUAAAAAAAUAAUAAUAUUUAAUUUAAAAAACAUACAUUUAUGACAUGUCUAUUUCGGUUGUUUCAAUCGUAAUUUUACUUUCAGUUACAUCAUUUUUAAUAAAUUAUUAUAAAUUAUUUAUAUAUUAAAAAAUUAAUAAUAUUUAAUAUAAAAAGUAAAAUAGACAUUUAUGACAUGCCUGCUUCAGCUGCUUUAAUCAUAAUUUUACUAAAUAUCAUCCCUGAUUAAUUAUUAUAAGUCAUCUAAGUAUUUAAAGCAGCUCUCCGUCGAUCUGUCGGCUUCAGCUACUUGUUCCAUGCUUUUAUACCUCUAAUUAAUUAUUAUAAGCCAUCUAAGUAUUAAAUAAAUAAAUAAUAUUUAAUUAAAAAGAUAAAAUAGAUAUAAAAUGAUAAGUCAACUCUUGAUGUUUUAAAAUAAUUUGACGUCUUAAGUGAGAUUUCAUUUACUUUUUUUUUUCACAAGUAUCUUUUAUAGAAAUUCUAUUAUAUCACUUCUAAUUAGUUGUUGUGAGUCAUUUAAGACAUGUCUAUUUCGUUGCUUCAAUCGUGAUUUUACUACAUCACCUCUAAUUAAUUAUUAUAGUCAUCUAAGCAUCAUGUCACUUAAAUUGGAGUAGAAAAAGUUUUACACAAUAAUUAUAAUUUUAAUAUAUUUAGAAAAUAUAAUUGACUAUCAGUGACACAAAACUCUGGACAAGGAGAGUAGCGUAUAUUUUUUAAAAAAUUACAUUAAAAAUAUUAUAAAUUACAAUAAUUAAAAACUUGAAAUAUAUAAAAAUAAUUUAACCUAUUAUGUAUUUUUAUAAACUACUUAAAAAAAAUACUAUAAAUCAUAAUAAUUAAAAACUUAAAAAUUUUAAAUGAUAUAAAUAUUUGGUUGACUCUCGAAAUUGUAUCAGUUUCACUUAAAUUGAAAUAGAAGAAAAAUAUUAUAAAUCACAAUAAUUAAAAUUUUAAAUUAUUUUAAAAAUUCAAUUGACUAUCAAUGCCACAAAAGUUUGAAUAGAUGGAGUAACAUAUGUUAUUUUAAAAUUACAUAAAAAAUAUUAUAGAUUACAAUAUUAACAACUUAAAAUAUUUAAAAACAUAUUAAAAGUAUGAUUGAUUAUCUAAAUUCAAUUUGUGUCAUAGAAAUUGAGACAAAAAAACGAGUUCAUGCAAGAUCCCGNNNNNNNNNNNNNNNNNNNNNNNNNNNNNNNNNNNNNNNNNNNNNNNNNNNNNNNNNNNNNNNNNNNNNNNNNNNNNNNNNNNNNNNNNNNNNNNNNNNNNNNNNNNNNNNNNNNNNNNNNNNNNNNNNNNNNNNNNNNNNNNNNNNNNNNNNNNNNNNNNNNNNNNNNNNNNNNNNNNNNNNNNNNNNNNNNNNNNNNNNNNNNNNNNNNNNNNNNNNNNNNNNNNNNNNNNNNNNNNNNNNNNNNNNNNNNNNNNNNNNNNNNNNNNNNNNNNNNNNNNNNNNNNNNNNNNNNNNNNNNNNNNNNNNNNNNNNNNNNNNNNUGAAAGAUGGUAACUUAUAGUUUUCUUUUCUAUAUAAUUUUUGUAACACUUAAAAUUUGAAUUUAAAAUAUUAAUUUAGUUUAACUUCAAAGAACAAGGUGACAAAUAAAAUAGAAGGGAAAAAUGAAAGCAAAUGAUGUUCAUGGCGGCUUAGUAAAGGAAUAUAACGCGGGUUAUUAAUUGCAAUUCACAUGUAAUAUAAUAUGUAAUGACUAGAUAACCUUUUAUUUUUUUCAACACUUAUUCUCAAGUCUUAUGUAUCAUUUUUAAUCUCAAAUUUUCUACUUAAUGUAGCAAAUCUCAAUCAUAUGAUUAAAGAUAUAAACUUGAGAAAAGACAUUCCCCUCCCCCCCUGAACUUGUCCUCUAACUAAAACUUAACUUCAGUUUAUUUACCCCCUUAAUAUCUUUAAAGUGUAUUUGUUUCACCCCUCAAAACUGAAUAUCACUCUCUGUUACUCGUACAAUAGAGAGUGGAUUACAUACACGUCAUGUCAAUGUCAAAUCAGUACCACAUCAGUGCCAGGUCAUUGCCUCGUAAGGAAUUAGGAUUUUUUUUUAAAUCCCACACACAUACUACUUUUAUGUAUUUUAAUUUUAAAAAAUAAAAAAUAUAUAUUUACUAUUUUAAUAUAAAUAAUAUAUAUAUAUAUAUAUAUAUAUAUAUAUAUAUAUAAUAAAAAAUUCAACCCCCCUCCCCCAAUCUCUUUCUCCCUUCCAUCACACCCCCCCCCCCCCCCCCCCCCCUCCCCUCCCCCCUCCCCCCCCCCCCCCCNNNNNNNNNNNNNNNNNNNNNNNNNNNNNNNNNNNNNNNNNNNNNNNNNNNNNNNNNNNNNNNNNNNNNNNNNNNNNNNNNNNNNNNNNNNNNNNNNNNNNNNNCCUUUCAUCCCCCCACCCCCACCCUCUUCUUUCUUAUCCAAACACAAAAAUACUUUAAUCAAGUUAAAAUUAUUUUUUUCAAAUUGUCUUAUCAACAAAAAAAAUCAAAAGUAAAAAUCAAAAGAAAUCUCAUUGAUGAUAAGUGAUUCAAAAAAAAUCAUCAAUUUAAUUUAAUUUUUAUCUAAAUUUUGAGUGAGUUGGAUUGAAGGUUGAGCUGGUGUACAAUUGAGAAAAUUAUUUAAUAGUGUUUUCAUGUUUGUUCUUGGGUGGUGUUUGUAAUACCCCGUAUGUUUCUAAGCUAGGAAAUGAACCAUUGUUCCUAUGUAUGAAACCUCCUAUCUUGUGAUUCAUAUUUGAGUACAUGACUUACAAUGAGUAUCCUAGUGAUAAGAUAGCUUAUGAUGCGUUAAGCAUGUUCAUAUGAGUCACUUAGAGCAAGGCAAGCUAUGAGCUUUUGAAUCCAUCAAGUUUUAGUGUUUGAUUUCACAAGAGUAAUCUUUGAACAAGAAUAACUUGAUUUAUAUAUAGUAUUUUGGUAUAUUUAGACCCAUCAAAUUGUAUAGAAUCGAAUUAGCUUUCCAACGAUAUUAAUUUUACAAAAAUCUGACACCCGAGCAAGAAGUUAUGGCUUUGCAAAGUGGAGUACGUCACCUAACAAAUGGAAUAAGGCUACUGGAAUGAGUAUGCCAUAGGUUGUGCGACGCACACCCUAAAGUGUGCCAUAAGGCGUGCGACGCAUACCUUGGCUUAUGCCAUAAGAUGUGCGGCGCACACCUUAGCUUAUGCAAUAAGGUGUGCGACGCAUACUUAGGAUUCCAGUGAGGAAAACACUUCAUUUUUGAGUUAUUUUGAGGGCAACUAAGUCUUUUGACGCUCCUUACACGUCCCUAAACUUAACCUUACGAAAUUUAUAGCUCCUAAUCACUUUACAACCCUAUUAACAUCUUAAGUUCAUUAUCCAAGAGCACAAUAGGAGAAAAACAAUUAGGGUUGCACCAUCAAGCUUGAAGGUCCAAUCUUUUAACAAUUUCAUCACCAUUAAGGUAUGCGUAGUGUUUAUCUAUGGAUUCCUUUCAUUCAUAGAGUUCAAGAACCAUGUUUUAGAUAUUACUUUGUGAUUUUCUUGUUGUGAUAUGAACAUGUAAAUGUCGAUGAUUUGUUGUUUAAAUUUCAAGAUGAUAUCUAAAGGUGUUUUCAUUAAGUAUAUGUGUUUGUUAGUUGAAACCCAUGAAUUUUGGGUGGUUUAAUAUGGUGAGAUUUAUGAACACACCUAAUCCAAAAGAAUGCAUGCAAAGUGUUUGAUAAAAUGCCUAAGAUGAUAGGAUUCAUGUCCCAUGAUCUAAUAGUGCUUAAAUGACAAGUCCACGCUCUAUGCUUUAUGAUUCCACGUUAUUGAUAUGUGUUGUUGUUGUGACAUGGAUUGAGCACAAUAUUGAAGUUAUGCAAGUAUAUACAUGUUGUAUGCAUUUCCUUCCCGUGUAUAAGAUGUUGAGAACUAUGCUUAGUGUGAAUUUUUUUACUUAUAAUAUUGUAAAUCGUGGACUCUACUCUUAUGAUCAAGUCAAUCAUGUGUGUCAGUUUCUUUUCAUCGAGUCCUGGGGUACUUGUACCCAAAAAUAUAGCUAUUUGUCUAGAGCCAUGUCAUGUUAUCACGAUACACUCAAUCAAGCCAUGAUCUACAGAACUCAGUCAGUCACGUCACUCAGAAAAUCUCAGAAAUCUCAUGAUCUCAGUUAAUUCUCAGAUAGUAGUACUAUCCCGUCAGUCAACAGAAGUCAGUUACUCAGUCCAUGUACAGUCAGUUAAUCAUGUUCAGUCUCUUCAGAUGGGAGUAGAAGUUAGCAUCGAGUGAACCCAAGGAUGGGAACACACAGUCAGAUGAGGGUGUGAUUCUUAGCAGUCAUCCUUGCGUUCCAGAACUAUGUAGCCAGCAUAGGUUGAUACAUCAAUACCUGUCAGUUGAGGGUAGAUGAGGUGGCUUAACCUGUCAGAUUAAGGUCUCAUCGUUCUCGUUAGAGUACCUACCAGAUGAGGGUCACUCACAGUUUGUCCUUAUCAGUGGUGCGGUAUUGACACCCUUCAAAUCAGGGCAUAGAUUGGACCCCAGCUCAGCUAUUAUAGAACAUUUGGGGCAUGUCAAUUAAACAACUACCUCCCACAGUUUCAUUCUCGGUCUCAGUGAAAGAACUCAGAUAGUUCUUCAAAUUUCAGUACCAGGACUGUCAGAUACAAUCAAUUCAGUUACAGUACGGAACUCAGACGGUUCCAUCAGAUUCAGGACUGUCAGACACAGUCAUCCAUGUUAUCAGAAUUUCAGUAUUAGUUAUGUUAGAUAUCAGUAAACCAUGUAUUAGGGUACAGAUUUAGAUAUUACUCAUUCACGAUCUCAGUUUCUAUGUAUGCAUAUUUGCACUCUCACGUUCAUUUUAGUCAGUCAGUUAGCAUUGCUCAUAUAUGUAAGCCCUUUUGCAUGUAGCCUACCUCACUCGUAUACUCAAUACUUUCAACUGUACUGAUGCAUUUGCGCUGCUUUCUUUUAUGUUACACCAUAGGUUCAGAGACACGAGUUUCGGAUCAGCAGUAGCAGUCGCAUUUCGGUAUAUAGAGUUGCAGUGAGUCCUUUUCAUUCGAGGACGAUAUGAUUUGAUUUUAUUCAUUAUUUCAAUUAGCUUUCAGGUUACGAAGUUAGUUGGAGACAUGUUCCUUCAACUCCCUACUCAGACAGUACUUAAAGGCUUUCAGAUUUUAGAUUUAACUUUCAGUUGUUUUGGGUAUUAGUUACCCCAUAUGGAUGUUAUUGUUUAUCAGAUAUUCUAGUAUUAUAUAGAAGAGGUGGUUUCGACCACCUCUUGCAAUUACCAAAAAACCAACUACUUCCACUUAAUUACAUACCAUGCCCCAAUAUAUAAUAAUUUCAUUGUUUCAUCAUAAUGGUUUAAAUAUUUAAUAUAUUCUAUUAAUUUAUAUUAAUUAACUAUAACUACAUAUUGAAAGUAAUUUUUAUUUAUUUAUUUAAUUGUCUAUCAUGUUCAAAACNNNNNNNNNNNNNNNNNNNNNNNNNNNNNNNNNNNNNNNNNNNNNNNNNNNNNNNNNNNNNNNNNNNNNNNNNNNNNNNNNNNNNNNNNNNNNNNNNNNNNNNNNNNNNNNNNNNNNNNNNNNNNNNNNNNNNNNNNNNNNNNNNNNNNNNNNNNNNNNNNNNNNNNNNNNNNNNNNNNNNNNNNNNNNNNNNNNNNNNNNNNNNNNNNNNNNNNNNNNNNNNNNNNNNNNNNNNNNNNNNNNNNNNNNNNNNNNNNNNNNNNNNNNNNNNNNNNNNNNNNNNNNNNNNNNNNNNNNNNNNNNNNNNNNNNNNNNNNNNNNNNNNNNNNNNNNNNNNNNNNNNNNNNNNNNNNNNNNNNNNNNNNNNNNNNNNNNNNNNNNNNNNNNNNNNNNNNNNNNNNNNNNNNNNNNNNNNNNNNNNNNNNNNNNNNNNNNNNNNNNNNNNNNNNNNNNNNNNNNNNNNNNNNNNNNNNNNNNNNNNNNNNNNNNNNNNNNNNNNNNNNNNNNNNNNNNNNNNNNNNNNNNNNNNNNNNNNNNNNNNNNNNNNNNNNNNNNNNNNNNNNNNNNNNNNNNNNNNNNNNNNNNNNNNNNNNNNNNNNNNNNNNNNNNNNNNNNNNNNNNNNNNNNNNNNNNNNNNNNNNNNNNNNNNNNNNNNNNNNNNNNNNNNNNNNNNNNNNNNNNNNNNNNNNNNNNNNNNNNUUAACUUUAAUUUUUAAAGUAAAAAAUUAAUAAAUUUAAUUUAAUAAAAUAAAUUUCUAAUGAAUAUUUUCUUAGAAUUUGUGUUGGAUCGAUAUGUAUCAAGUUAUAAAAAAUAUAUAUAGUAAAAUUUUAUUAUUGUGAAAGAUAAAUAUAAUGCACUAUCCAAUAUGUUUAAUAAUACCAUAUUUUGCAUAUGCAAAUAUAGCAUCCCGUAUUGAAUUAAUAUACUAUUUCGGUGAAUUAUAGAUAAUUACUAUUGGAUAUGAUAAAAUUAUAUUAAUUUUUAUAGUAAUAACAUAAUCAGUCUCUCUUAAUUAAUUAUUAUGAGUCAUCGAGGUAUUAAGAAAAUAAAUAAUAUUUUAUGAAAAAUAAAAUAGACAUAAAAUGCAAAAUUAACUCUUAAUGUUUUAAAUUAAAUUUUCGUCUUUCGAACGAUGAUUUUACUAUAUCACUCCUUAUUACAAGUCAUUUAUGUAUUAGAAAAAUAAGAAUAACAAAAUGAUAUGUCAACAUAAAAUAUUUGAUUUACUAUCAAGAUUAUAUUAGUGCCACAUAAAUUGGGACGGGACAGUAGAAGAUAUAAAGCAACAUAUAUUAUUUGAAAAUAAAAUAAAAAGUACUGUAAAUAACAAUAAUUAACAAAUCUUUUUUAAAAAAUUGACUGAUUUCUUCUUCAGGUGCUUCAAUCGUGAUUUUACUAUAUUACCCCUAAUUAAUUAUUAUGGUCAUUUAAGCAUUGUGUCACAUAAGUUGAGAUAGAAAAAAUAUUAUAAAUCACAAUGAUCAAAAAUUUAAAUUAUUUAAAAAAUAUAAUUUGCUAUUGUUGACACAAAACUCUGGAUAAGGAGAGUAACAUAUAUUAUUCAAAAAUUAUAUAAAAAGUAUUAUAAAUUACAAUUGUAAACAAUUUAAAAUAUCUAAAAAAAAAUUAAUAUGUUAUAUAUUUCAAAAAAAAUUACAAGAAAAAUACUAGAAAUCACAAUAAUCAACAACUUAAAAAAUUUAAAAGAUAUAAAAUAUUUAGUCGGCUCUUGAAAUUAUAUUAGUGCCACUGAAAUUGGAAUAGCAAAAAAGUAUUAUAAAUCACAAUAAUUAAAAAUUUAAAUUACUUUUAAAAUAUAAUUGACUAUCAAUGCCACAUAAAUUUGGACAAGAAAAGUAACGUAUAUUAAUUUAAAAAAUACAUAAAAAAACAUUAUAAAUUAAAUAGUUAACAACUUAAAUUAUCUAAAUACAUAUUAAAAUAACAUAUGUUGAAUUCGUGCUAGAUCUGGAUGAAUCCUAGAAAACAUAUGCAAUCCUUUUAUUAAAUUUUUUUAUUUAAAUAUAUGAAGAUUGAAAAGACAAAUAAAUAUCUUAAUGUUGGGCCCGUGCUGAUACGGACCAUGCUUGUCUAGUAUGUAAUAAGGAAUCCAAAUCGCCAAACGUGUUACGAGUUAUGAGUUAUGAGAUAUGUCCCUAACCCUAAGUAUUCAUUUCAAUACAAGUUUGUUGACUUGUUUCAGGCUUUCAACGGCGCCUCGAGGAGAUGAGAUGACGAGUGUCGAGUUUCCGACUGUAGUUCUAUAUUAUGUUAAAUUUAUGAUUUAUUACAUGCGUGUUGAGUUAUUUAUAUUGGGGAAUGAAAAAUAGGUUUAAAAAAUCAUUUUUCUAGAAAAAUCAUCAAUUUUAGAUGUUCAAUCAUGACAAAAAAGAAAGACUCACUACUUUAAUCUUCAAAAUCUUGAAAUAACUGAAUCAAAUUUGUAAGAAUCGAACCAAAUUGAAUUUAUUUCGGUUUGAUUACGGUUGCCAGUUUUGUCAGUUUGAAAAUUAAAAAAUUAAACCGAUAUUAAAUAACCAAAUCGAACAAAUCGAGUGCCCAUCCCUAAUACUAAUGAUGAUUAUUCUUGAUAUUUUAUUAUUCAAUUUUACACAUAAUAUAUUUCAUAUAAUAUUAUUACAUAACAUUUAAGAAUAAUUGUUAUACACAUGUAAUUUUAGAAAGAGAAUAUAUUAUAAUGAAAGUCAUAACUGUUCUACGAAAAAUAUUGUUACAGAGAAAUAAAAUAAGAAAUUAAGAUCGACAACUUAGAUUUGUUCAGAGAUUUCACUUGAACACCUCAACUCACCCCUUGUAGCUAUUGAACGCCUCCACCUCUUUGAAUUUGAACCACUCAAAUAUUUUUUCGACAAUCAGCUAAAAUAUAAUUUAACAAAUUAAAUAGUGAUACGUGUCGUAUGGAUCCAAAAAUAAUAUUCUUAAAUGUAUCAUAACAACAUAAAAAGGGAAGUUAUUUUAAAAUUAAAAAAUAAAAUCGAGCCUUAGAUUUUCUUCAUCUCAAACUGAUACUUUAAAGUUCAAUUUUUUUUUUUUAAAAAAAAAGAAAAAAAAACAACAACUUCUUUUCCAUUUUAAAUUUUCUUUAUCUGAUAGCCGCCUUCAUCUUCUUUUCUGUUCCUACUUAUAACUCAUCUUCUUUCCCGUUAUAAAUCUUCUCUCAUUUUUUUAAUUUGUUUUUCUUUUUUCUUUUUUUCUAAAUUUUAUUUUGUUCUUAAUUUUGAAUUUGAAUUAUGCUCGAAUUUGAUUUCAUAGAUAGAGAAGGAAGAAAAAUGUAUGGUGGUAGAAAUUCACCGAAACAGCUGCAAACCAUCAACUUGCUAUAUUUUUCUCCUACUACUUCUGUAGUGUUGCUUUUAAGAUUCAAAUUCUUUAACAGUUUUUUUUUUUAAAUAACUUCAAAUUAGUAUUAAUCGUACCGAAAACAAUGGUCUUCGCAUCAGAUUUUUUUGACCCAAUUUGAUAUUUCUAUUUAAUAAAUCUUUCUACAACCUUAAUAAAAAACAUUGUCAGUCAAUGUUUAGAAUUUUUUUCUAUCAAAGAACUUUGUUUAAUUAGUACUUUUUCAACGAAAAUAACGUUAUGAGAUUUUAAUUUUUGAGUUUGACGUUGAGGGAGUGAGGGAUUGGGAAAGACAGUGAGAGGAUCUUAUUUUUUAUAAAAUAUAUUUUUAUGGCUUUAUUAUUUUGUUGACAUAUCACUUUUUAAUUGGCCUUGUAAAUAAUUUUUUCUAGUUUCACGUAUGAAAUGUGUAUUACACCCAUGUCAGCAAAAGUGUUGAAUAGGUAGAAGGGUGAGUUGAAGUUUCAAGUGAAACCUCGAAACAAGUUUAGAGGUCUGUCGAUGGCUUGACUAAAAAAAAUACAAUAUUACUAAAGAAAAAAUGCAUUGUUUUUACUUUAGCCAUACAAGAAAAGUCUAAGACACAUCUAAACUAUUGGAGUAACCUAAUACAUAUCUAAAUUACUUGAAAGUGAAAUUUUUUAUCGCUAAAUCUGACGUAGAAAAAACAUAAUUAUUUAAUUAAAAAUAGGCGCGUCUAAAUUAAAAAAUAACACAAAAUAAAAGUUAAAACUGAAAAUUCAAAUUCAUCUUCUUCUUCUCCAAAUUCAAAAAUCUCCAAACUAAAACAAAGAUGUUUAGAAUUUUUUUAAGGUUUCUAAACAUCCAUCUUCUUCUUCUUCUUCUCCAAAUUCAAAAAUUCCCAACAUCCAUCUUCUUCUUCUUCUCCAAAUUCAAAAAUCCCCAAACUAAAAAUUCCAAUUUCAAUUUCAAGUUGCUAAUGAGUUUCAAACGAUUAACAAUGGGUGAAAUUCCUCCUUUUUCUUCUUCCCCCAAUUCAAUUCAACCAUCGAAUCUAAUUAUUGACCCCGUCGGAGCUGCAAAUGCAUACAAAUCAGUAGGCUUCUCUAAGGAGAAAUUUGGGUUUUUGUUGGUGAAGUUUUUCAUAAUGAAGCUUUCCAUUAAACAGUUUGGGGAUUGAGGUUGUUGUUGGUGUUUUGAUGGUUUUAGUUUUGGGGGAAAUUAUAGUAACUGAGGUAGUGAGGUUUUGUAUUGUGUGGGUAGUGUGUAGAGUUUAGGUGUGCGCGGCGGUGUAUCAAGCAAUCACUACCGGAGCUGCAUCGCCGGCGAUGAAUUUGACGCAAUUUCAGUGCCACACCUUGUCUGCUAAACAAGGUAAAUAUCAAGUUAGAAAAAAAAAAAGGAUAAAACUUUUCUGCACAUAUAAUUGGAUUCCACUGUGUAGAAAAGUGUAUUUAUAAUUGAACAUUGAAGAAAAAGAAAAAAAAAUUGAGCUCAUAACAAUAGAGGUUUUGGACAACAAUGAAGGUUUUGGAUAUUGUAGAAAAAAAGAUUUGAACUCAUAACAAUGGAAGUUUUGGACAACAAUGAAGGUUUUGGAUAUUGUAGAAAAAAAGAUUUGAACUCAUAACAAUGGAAGUUUUGGACAACAAUGGAGGUUUUGGAUAUUGAAGAAGAAAGAAAAAAAAUUUAAAUUUAAAAGAUUUUUUUUUUAUGAAAAUAAUAAAUUUAUUAUUUUUUUCGUAUCAUACUGACGUGACAGGCGCGUGAGCAAUACCACACCACAUGCAAGUGGUAUAAUGCUUUACAGGAUAUAAAAAGUUUCACUUUUAUAUAGUUAAGGUGUGUAAUAGGUCACUUGUAUAGUUUAGGUGUGGAUUCGACUUUUCUUGUAUAGUUUGGGGUGGAAAUAAUGCUUUUUCCCAAGAUCAUAGUGUUGGGUUUAUAGUAUAUGAAAGAAGUGUGAAUGAAAAAAUGGAGAGUAAAAUAGUGGAGGGAAGGAGACAGUAAAGUUGAAAGUGUACUCCCAAAUUAUAAAGUUUACUCUUUCACCCACAUUGGUGGAAGAAUAGAACUUGGAAGUCUUUAUAAUCACGAACACUUACUCCACAUGGUAAGUGAGGCAAGAAAUAAGAGAUGUCUCGCGCCGUCGUCGUCGUUGUUCGCUCGGCUUUGGAUUUGGAUUUGGAUUUGAAUUUGUCAAUCGAUCGAUGAGAUCUAUCUUUUUGGACAAAAUCUAUUUGAGAUUCGAACAUACCAAAGAAAAAAAAUGCAGGAAAAAUUUCCUGAUACUCCAUUUAUAUAAUAUGCAUGCAAUAACAGUUGCAAUGUUUCGAACAGAACUAAUGCUUCAGUUGUUUCAAGUGAACUGAUGCACUGCUUCAUGAACUGAUGCAUGCUUCAGAAGGAUGCAAUCCUUCAAUGAAGUAACACACUGUUUCACAAAAUGAGAUGACUGUUCAGGAAAAGAUACACUCUUUGAUGAACAAAUAUGAAUUUUCAGAAAGAGGUGCAACCUUUUAAAUUGAACCAUUGCCUCUUUUCGGAAGAGGCAUGUUGUGGCUAUAUAAACCUGUUUUUAUUCACAGGUUUAGAUACGAAAAUUACAGAAUAAAAACACUCUUCUUGCCUUAAAAAUAUUAUGUGUGAUCACUCAAAACGGUCAGUGAGUUCGAAGAUAUUCCAAUUGUUUGAGGUACCGCUACAGUUGGUUUGUUUGGCCAUUUUAUCCUGGGAGAAAAAUUCUCCAACCUCGGGUACAGUGAGGAAAAUUAUUUCCUUAAGAAAAAUUCGUGAAUUCGGGCAACUUGUCCAUUUCUAUUUCAUCCACCUCUUAUAAAGAUCACUUUGAUCUUGGGUUGAGGGUAUUUUCUGUACUUCAUUGUGUUCUUGUUCUUAAACUUGAACUAGUUGAAGUGGUUGUUUCUAGUAUACAGAUUCUUGUACCCGUAGAAGGAAGAAUAACAAUCUUAAGGAAAUAAUUCAGAAUCGGUAUUACUUGUUUUUGGAGAUUAAAGCUUAAGUUUUCUACUCUGUUUGAGUUUAACUAAUGACUAGGAGACAUAAAAUCUUCAUCACAAGUUUAAAAUUCAAUCGGUUGACAAUUGGAAGUCAUAAAAAUUUCGUUGUUAACUAGAAAUAAGAAGAAAAGUUUGAAAUUUUAUUUAACUUUAUAAUUAGUAUUCUGAAAAAUACUAAAUAUUAUUGUCUUGUGGUGACAAAAAAAAUGACUAACGAAAGUCAAAUGCAAGAUGCGGCUACGACUGUGGGGGUAACUAGUAUUGCCUCAACAAGUCGAGCAAAUGCUUCGCAACCUAUGGCACCUGCGGAGAAGCUCAAAAAAUUUGCGGGCAUUAACUUUAAGCGAUGGCGGCAGAAGAUGUUUCUCUACCUCACAACACUAUGCCUUCAAAAGUUCACUUGUGAGGAUGCUCCUGAGGUGCCCGAAGGAACCUCGGACAAAGAGCAUUUCAUGAUUGUAGAAGUUUGGAAGCACUCGGACUUCUUUUGCAGGAAUUAUAUAUUGAGUGGUCUCCAAGACGACCUCUACAAUGUUUACAGUGGAACUAAGACAUCGAAGGAAUUGUGGGGGGCACUAGAACGAAAAUACAAGACAGAGGAUGUGGGAAUUAAGAAAUUCUUUGUUGCAAGGUUCCUGGACUACAAAAUGAUAGAUAGCAAAUCGGUUGUCUCUCAAGUGCAAGAAUUGCAAGUAAUCAUCCACGAUCUCCUAGCAAAAGGUAUAUCUUUGAAAAAUACCUUAGCUGAACAACUUGAAAAAGUUCUUAAUACUCACAUAAACUGUUUUGUAGGUUAAACUGUGAAUGAUGCUUUCCAAGUAGCAGUGAUAAUUGAGAAGCUACCACCAAUGUGGAAAGACUUUAAAAACUACUUGAAGCAUAAACGCAAGAAGAUGACUGUCGAAGAUCUUAUUGUCCGACUGCGUAUUAAAGAGGAUAAUAAAGCUGCCGAGAGAAGGUCAAAAAGAAAUUCUGCAAUUAAUGGAGCACAUAUUGUAGAAGAUGACCCAAAUAAUUCUAAGAAAAGAAAGAAAGCUAUCAACCCAAGAAGAAAUUCAAGGGAAAAUGCUUCAAUUAUGGCAAGAUUGGCCACAAGUCCACGGAUUAUCGUGCCCCAAAGAAAGGCAAGAAAAAGGAUCAAGCAAAUAUGAUUGAAUCCAACAAAUAAUACGUUGAUCUGUGUGCUAUGUUCUCAGAAUGCAACUUGGUGGGGAAUUCUUGCGAAUGGUGAAUGGAUUCUGGUGUCACCCGCCAUGUAUGUGCCAAUAAAGAGUUGUUUUCGUCAUUCGCUCCCGCUCAAGUAGAAGAAAUGAUCUACAUGGCUAACUCCGCUACUGUUAAGGUAGAAGGAACAAGAAAAAUAUGCUUGAAAAUGACUUCAGGAAAGGUCUUGACACUUAACAAUGUCUUGUAUGUUCCGGAGUUACGUAGGAAUUUAAUUUUUGUUUCACUUCUAGACAAGAACGGAUUCAAAUGUGUAACCGUUUAUGGAAAAAUUGUAAUUAGCAAAGAAAAAAUGUAUGUAGGAAAAGACUAUCUUACCGAGGGCCUUUAUAAGAUGAAUGUAAUGAAUGUUAAAAUAAAUAAAAGCUCAAAUUCUUCUUAUUUGCUUGAGUCUUAUGAUUUAUGGCAUAAACGUUUAGGCCAUGUUAAUUACAAAACGUUACGAAAACUGAUUAACUUAGAAGUUUUGCCAAACUUUGAGUGCAAUAAAUCAAAGUUUUAAACGUGUGUAGAAACAAAGUAUGCAGAGCAUCCUUAUAAGUCCGUUGAAAGGAAUUCCAAUCCUUUAGACUUAGUACACACUGACAUUUGUGAUAUGAAGUCAACACCAUCACGUGGUGGAAAAAAAUAUUUCAUAACUUUUAUUGACGAUUGCACUAGAUAUUGUUAUGUCUAUUUGCUAAAUAGUAAGAAUGAAGCAAUAGAUGCGUUUAGGCAAUAUAAAACUGAAGUUGAAAAUCAGUUAGAUAAAAAGAUAAAAAUAAUAAGAAGUGAUAGGGGCGGAGAAUAUGAAUCUCCUUUCGCCAAAAUAUGUGUAGAGAAUGGAAUUGUCCAUCAAACUACGGCCCCGUAUUCACCUCAAUCUAACGGAAUUGCAGAAAGAAAAAAACAAACUUUGAAGAAAAUAAUGAAUGUCUUGCUUAUAAGUUCCGGUUUACUACAAAACUUAUGGGGGAGGCUAUCCUUACAGCCAAUCGUAUACUCAACAGAGUUCUCCAUAGUAAGAAACAAUCAAUUUCUUAUGAAAAAUGAAAAGAAAGGAAACAAACCUUGAAAUAUUUCAAAGUGUGGGAGUGUCUAACAAAGGUCAAAAUUUCUAUGCCUAAAAGGGUUAAGAUAGGACCUAAGAAUGUGGACUGCGUGUUCAUAGGAUAUGCUAAAAGUAGUAAAGCAUAUCAAUUUUUGGUUCAUAAAUCCAAACAUCCGGAUAUUAAUGAAAAUACAAUAAUUGAAUCAGACAAUGUUGAAUUAUUUGAAAACAUUUACCCAUAUAAAAUUAGACAUGAACAGUCUAGUGGAAGAUCUAAACGACCUCGAGAUAAACCAAGUGAGAAUGUACAUAAUAAAGAAAAUCCAAGACGUAGUACACGACAAAGAACGUUUACUUCAUUUGGAUCGGAUUUUGUAACAUUUCUCUUAGAAAAUGAGCCUCAAACAUUUAAGGAAGCGAUGACAUCCUUGGACUCAUCCUUUUGGAAAGAGACAGUCAAUAGUGAGAUCGAUUUAAUCUUAAGCAACCAUACAUGGGAAUUGGUUGAUCUUCCUUCCGAAAAUAAAUCUUUAGGUUCCAAAUGGAUCUUUAAAAGAAAGAUGAGAGCGGAUGGUAAUAUUGACAAAUACAAGGCAAGACUUGUAGUAAAAGGCUUCAAACAAAAAGAAGGCCUUGAUUACUUCGAUACAUACUCGCCAGUAACAAGGAUAACAUUGAUUCAAAUAUUAAUUGCCUUGGCUGCGGUAUAUGAUCUUUAAAUCCAUCAAAUGGAUGUGAAAACUGCAUUCCUAAAUGGAGAAUUUGAGGGAGAAAUUUACUUGAAACAGUCUGAGGGUUUUGUGGUUUCAGGAAAAGAGUUGUGUAGACUUAUUAAGUCAUUGUAUGGACUAAAGCAAGCACCUAAAUAAUGGCAUGCGAAGUUUGACCAAACCAUGUUGGCAAAUGAGUUCAUGAUAAAUGAAUAUGAUAAAUAUGUUUAUGUUAAAGAUACUCCAAAUCACCAAGUCAUUGUUUGUUUAUAUGUGGAUGAUAUGUUGAUCAUCAACAGAGACAUUUCUGACAUAAAUGCAACCAAAUGAAUGCUCGAGAGAAAGUUUGAUAUGAAAGACCUUGGAGUUGCAGAUGUGAUCUUAGGUAUAAGAAUCCAUCGAACUCCACAAGGGUUGGCACUGUCACAGUCUCAUUAUAUCAAAAAUGUACUUGACAAGUUCAAGUAUAUGGAAUUCGGUAUUUCCAAGACUCCAUUAGAUGUGAGCUUUGUACUUCGAAAGAAUGAAGGUGAAAGUGAAUCACAACUGGAGUACACAAGAGUAUUGGGACGUUUAAUGUAUAUAAUGAAUUGUACACGACCAGAUAUAGCAUGCGCUAUUAGUAAAUUGAGUCGGUACACGAGUAAUCCCAACAAAACUCAUUGGAUGGCAAUGAAAAGAGUUUUGGGGUAUCUUAAAUACACUCAAGACUAUGUCUUGCAUUAUAAUAAAUAUCCUGCAGUACUUGAAGGAUAUAAUGAUGCAAAUUGGAUCACCGGAUCGAACGAAGUAAAAUCCACAAGUGGAUAUGUAUUUACUAUCGGUGGAGGAGCAGUCUCUUGAAAAUUAUCCAAACAGACUUGUAUUGCUCGCUCUACAAUGAAAACUGAAUUUAUCGCAUUAGAUGAAGCCGGUGAAGAAGCAGAAUGACUUCAAAAUUUCUUAGAAGAUAUUCCGUAUUGGCCCAAGCCAGUGGCACCAGUAUGUAUACACUGUGAUAGCCAAGCGGCAAUAGGUAGGGCAGGGAGCAUGAUGUACAACAGUAAAUGUCAUCACAUGCGACGGAGAUAUAAUACUAUUAGGAACUUCUCUCUAAUGGAAUUAUCACUGUUGACUACGUAAAGUCAAAGGAUAAUGUGUUGGAUCCACUUACAAAAGGCCCAUCUAGAGAAGAAGUGGAAAGGACAUCCAAGAGAAUGAGUUUAAGACCUAGGACAAGUCAGCAUGACGGUAACUCUACCUAGCAAACUGGAGAUCCCAAGAGUUAGGUUCAAGGAGAUCAAACAAAGUUGUGUCUAGCAGGUUCAACAUUGUCAGUUACCCAACCCAUUCUCAUGAUGUAGACAAUGUAUAUUAAACUAGGAUAAGACUUAAGGUGAAAAGUCUUUUAAUGAUUAUAUAAAUUUGACAGAUUUGACCAAUAGUUUAAUCUAUAGGAUUGGACAUUUAAAAAUCACCUAUGUGAGGGCGAAGUGGAAACCGCUUCAAGGAGAAUGUUAGCAGAGGCCUAUUCUCUAAGCUCUCAUGAAAUCGGGACGUGUUCAUGACUGAAAAUAACAAAACAGUGAGAACCAUAAACGUUAAAAGGCUGGUUGUGUGACAUGUAUUGUCUAGGUGUACAUUAAAGCUCGCCGGUUCAAAGAUAUCAAAUCUACCGAUUGACCGAGUGCAUCCGAUGCAUGUUCACUACGGAAAGUUCAAAGGGAAACCCACUCAUCCAGAUGCAAUCAGUCUUUGCUUGAUGAUCACAUAUUUGUCCGUAAAACUUUUACAAAAAAUAGUCAUUCCCCAUUCAUGUGGGGGAUUGUUGGGUUUAUAGUAUAUGAAAGAAGUGUGAAUGGAAAAAUAGAGAGUAAAAUAGUGUAGGAAAGGAGACACUAAAAUGAAAAGUGUACUCCUAAAUUAGAAAGUUUACUCUUUCUCCCACAUUGGUGGAAGAAGGGAACUUGGAAGUGUUUAUAAUCAAGAACACUUACUCCACAUGGUAAGUGAGGCAAGAAAUAAGAGAUGCUUCGCGGCGUCGGCGUCGUCGCUCGCUCGGCUCGGCUUCGGAUUUGGAUUUGUCAAUCAAUCGAUGAAAUCUAUCUUUUUGGACAAAAUUUAUUUGAGAUUCGAACAUACCAAAGGAAAAAGACGCGCGAAAAUUUUUUUGAUACUCCAUUUAUAUAAUAUGCAUGCAGUAACAGUUGCAAUGUUUCAAACAGAACUGAUGCUUCAGUUGCACUGUUUCAAGUGAACUGAUGCACUGCUUCAUGAACUGAUGCAUGCUUCAGAAGGAUGCAAUCCUUCAACGAAGUAACACACUGUUUCAUGAAAUGAGAUGACUAUUCAGGAAAAGAUGCACUCUUUGAUUCGGGUACAGUGAGGGGAAUUAUUUCCUUAAGAAAAAUACGUGAAUUCGGGCGACUUGACCAUUUAUGUUUCAUCCUUAUUUCUGGAAAUAAAAUACACCUAUUAUAAAGAUCACUUUGAUCUUGGGUUGAGGAUAUUUUUUGUACUUCAUUGUGCUCUUGUUCUUAAACUUGAACUAGUUGAAGUGGUUGUUUCUAGUAUACAUAUUCUUGUACCCGUAGAAGGUAUUAUAACACAUAGUUCAUAAAAAAGAUUUUAAUCAUCCCAUGGCACCACAUUGAUAAAUCACACAUCUCAUAUUUCUUUUUAUAAAUAAUAUUUGUUAUUAAAAAUUACAUGAUCAGACCCUUCUUCGAAUUGUACAUAUAUUGAAAGCUUUAAUACACUAGCUUUGUCUUAUAAACUUUCAAAUAAACACAAACUCAUACAGUGGUACAUAGUUAAUCAUUAAAAUAAAUGUUUUAUUCAUUGAAAUAAUCUUUUCACAUAAUACACAACCUCUUUAUGUCAAAUAUGAUUCUUUUUUCAUAAAAUAUAAACUUAUCAAGUUUUUCAUUUAAAAUGAAUUUGAAACUAUGACUCGGAUCAAAUCAUAUUUUGUGGAGAAUUUAAGAUUCCAAUUUCAUAAUUUAUUAUCAUGAUUUUCAAUGGCAUAUCUAAAUGCAAAAGUAUUUCUUAUUUUGUUGAAUUCUGUGCGAUCGAGGUUAUAGAGAAUGCUGGUUGUCGUGGUAAAAGAAAAAACAAAACAAAACUGAGGAACAUGUGAGCAAAGCAUCCCUUAGAAGGUAAAGUGUGGGAUAAACGUUGAAGCGAAGAGCAAAGAGAGAUGAGGUUUAGCAGAGGGAAGCAAGACGGUUAUUAUCAUUACCGCCACUACUCUUUGCCGUUGUUGUUCACGCUCGCGCUCGCGCUCGCAAUCCCAGCUACGGCCGCAGAAGAUGCGUCUACAAUCCUAUCAAGAUUCCAGCAGUACCUUCAGAUAAAUACAGCCCAACCUCACCCGAACUACUAUGAAGCCGCCCAAUUUAUAACCUCACAGGCCAACUCACUAUCCCUCCAUUCCCAGACCCUGGAGUUUGUCGAGGGAAAGCCCCUCAUUCUCAUCAAAUGGCAAGGCAAGGACCCAACCCUCCCUUCCAUCCUCCUCAACUCACAUACAGAUGUUGUCCCUUCCGAGCAUCACAAGUGGACUCACCCGCCUUUCUCCGCUCACUUAGAUUCCACCACCGGCAACAUCUUUGCCCGAGGUUCUCAGGAUAUGAAGUGCGUCGGGUUGCAGUACCUCGAGGCCAUUCGCAAGCUCAAGGAUUCCGGCUUCCGCCCCCUCCGCACCGUCUACCUCUCCUUUGUCCCCGAUGAGGAGAUCGGUGGUGCUGAUGGCGUUGCAAAGUUUGUUGAUUCCGAUGCCUUUGCCGAUAUGAAUGUUGGGAUUGUACUCGACGAAGGUUUGGCUUCUCCCGCUGACCACUAUCGUGCAUUCUAUGGAGAGAGGUCCCCCUGGUGGCUGGUCGUUAAAGCUGUAGGUGCUCCUGGACAUGGCUCUAAGCUCUAUGAUAAUACUGCCAUGGAGAAUCUACUUAAAAGCAUCGAAUCUAUAAGGAGAUUUAGGGCUGCGCAGUUCGAUCUCGUUAAGGCCGGAUUGAAAGCUCAAGGCGAGGUCAUUUCUGUCAAUAUGGUCUUCUUGAAAGCUGGCACUCCUUCUCCCUCUGUAAGUCAGCCCGACUGUCUGAUUCGAGAUUCUGACCGUUAUUGUACUGUUGUUGCAAGGCUGUUUGAAUAUUGCACUUCACUUCGUGAUAUUGUAGCACUUUCUGUACUGUUCCUCUUCUGAGGAACUCAAAGGAGUCUUUGGAUCCCUUUUUCCUACACUCGAGAAUUAAUAUUGAGAUGAGUUUAAGAUAUGGACUUCUUUGUUUCUGUGGCAGGGUUUUGUCAUGAACAUGCAGCCAUCUGAAGCCCAAGCAGGAUUUGACAUCAGAGUACCCCCAACUGCAGAUCCGGCAUCCUUGGAGAGGCGAAUAGCUGAUGAAUGGGCACCUGCUUCGCGUAACAUGACUUUUGAGGUAUUAGGAAAAAUAAUAAUCCUCACGUCUACUUUUAAGAGAUAAACAACCUGCAAUGCGGUGGCUGCCUCCUGUUUGCUAUAUCUUAGUCCUUUUCUAAAGAGGAAACGCCCUAUAACAAUUUAUGUUUAACUGUUUUCUUUUUGUUGGCUGCGGAGGGUGGAUACACCAAAGAAAAGUGUCUCAUGCCUUUCUUUAGGUGUUUGCACCUUGUGGUUGAUGUUACGGUUCCUUGCAUAUAUGCUCCGCACUGCUUUCCUGUUAGCUGUCUUGUUUUUCUUUAAUGUCGUUUUUCCUUUCCAUUACUACUUUGAUUUGCUUCACUCGAGACGAGGGUCUUUCAGAAACAACCUCUUUACUUCCAAAAGGUAGAAGUAAGGUCUGCGUACGUUCUAUCCUCUCCAAACUCCACUAUGUGGGAUAUCACUAGGUAUGUUGUUAUUGUUUCAAUUACACAUGAAGUAGCCUAUUGCAGCAGUUUAUCUGAAGCCUUGCUCGAGUCUAUCUUCCGAGCUGCUAUAGUUAGUUUAUGAAAGUAGAAAAGUCUAAUCUAGGAUUGCUAGAGUUUCUUCGUUCCCAGCUUCUUCUCAUCCUUUCCCUUUUCUCGGUCUUUUAAUCUGUCUUGUUUUGCAUCAGGUAAGGGAAGCAUCGCUGCACUAUGUUUUACCCCCCAACAAAAGAUAAGAAAAUUUGCAACAUCAGUUUUUUUGGAAGACAAAUUCAUGAGCUCAAUCUUAAUAGAGAGAUGCAAAUAGUUAUCGGAGUCUCUGAGAAAUGCAAUAUCCUGUUGGGAUCUUUGAAUAUCCUAGCUUUAGGGAGAGUGUGUGAGUAACAUGACAUAGCUUUUUGUUUUGUUGUCUCUAGUUUAAACACGUGUUUGCAUUUGAGGGACCUCUUGUCUGAAAUUCUUAAAGCUAGCCAAUGUGAAAGGACCAUACCAUCUCUGCCUCUUCUAAUUAUUGUAAAUGGAUGGCAAAUACCUUGCUACCAUGAAUCCACAUCCUCAACCACCCCAACCUUCUGAAUUCUGUAGGUGAACCCUUGAUCCAAAACAAAAAUAAAAAUAAUAGUUCCCAAAAUAUCUUAAGUUAUACUACUUGAUAGAAUUCCUCGCUGAUUAUUGUUGGACUUUGUAAAUUCCUCACUGGUUAUUGUUGAAUUUGUAAAAAGGUCUAUUUGAACAAUAGUUAAAAGUGCAGUAUGCUAAUUUAAGAGUGGCAAUGCCCUUGCUCUUGACAGUUCAAGCACAAGGUGUCUGUGAACGACAAGUUUGGAAGGCCAGCUGUUACAGCUGUUGACAGUUCCAAUAUUUGGUGGGCACUUCUUGAAGAAGCUAUCAUCAAAGCUAAUGCCAGACUUGGAAAACCAGAAAUAUUUCCUGCAUCAACAGAUUCACGCCAUUUUCGGGAGCGAGGCCUGCCAGCAAUUGGAUUUUCUCCGAUGGCAAACACUCCCAUUCUUCUUCACGACCACAAUGAGGUGAGCAUUACAUAAUAUUGCUUGCUUGGUGGCACAUGGUAGUUUUGUCUGUGCAUAAAUGCACAUAUAGUUUUCCUUUCCCAACCUCUUAAGUAUACUCUUAAUAUGAGAAUGCCAAAAGAAGAAGUUAGAACUCCAAAAAAAAAAAAAAAAGGAAGCAGAACAUAAUGAAAUAGCCAUCUAUGGUCACUGUUUAACAAAUCAACUGUUUGGUGCGUAGAAGCAAAACAUUUACAGGAGGCUAGAUUCUUGCACGACCGUAGAAAUGGUGUAAAUAUGACUGGACUUGGAAAUUUUGUUCACUUGUUUAAAUAGUUUAUUUUAUGUGGUGGAAAUCCUGAAUUUGGCCUACGGGGUUAAUAUACAUUCUCUUUUGCUGCAGUUCUUGAACAAGGAUGAGUAUUUGAAAGGUAUUGAUGUUUAUGAGUCCAUAAUCAAAACAUAUGCAUCUUAUAUUCAGCAUCCAAGAGACGAUGCUUCGAGAGAAGAAUUGUGAGCAGGUUCUAUUGCUUGUAAAUUGUAAUGUUAUGUCGGCGAAGGCCAUAGAGCAGUUGACAUCUUUCUGCUGUAGGAAUAAACAAAAUGGAUUAUGUAAAAACUCUUUCAUGGGUUGUUUCCAAUAUUUACUUUACCAAAUGGAGUUUCUCCGGCUAUAUAGGAAAUAAAAUGUUGCAACAGGCAAACGAAAUGUCAAAGCUCCGCCUUGGCUUGGAAAUGAAUGAAAAGAGAAAAAGAGGAAAUAAAAGAACGGUAGCGGGUAGAUUGAUACUAUUUAAAUUGACAUUGAGAGAUGCAGCUAUUGAAGUCUUUAGUUUGCAAUCAGCCAGAAGUGUCAAAUGAGUUGAAGGGUUGAUUCCUAAAGGAAUUGAAUAUUUAAAAUUGGGGUGGAUCAUUUGAUUAUGGGCUCGUCAUGUUUUCUCUGCUAAAAGUUAGACUAAAUCUGUAUCUAAAGUAUAAUGAAAGAAUAUAUCUUAGACUGAAAAUAUAAUGGGAAGUAUAUACAUAUAUCAAAACUCAUAUGAGGGGAUAUAUUUGACUUUUUAUUGGGGUGGGGGAUUUGAUGAAAUAGUAAAAAAUUUAACUUCUUUUUAUACCUCUUGUGAUGUCUGACAAAGAUUAAAAAUGCUUUUAAAUAUUGAAUUUUAGAUCAAAAAAGUUACUUCUUUCUGAUUAUUUCAAAAUUAGAGAUUGUAUAUGAAUUCUAUCAAUUCUUGAAUAAAAUGUUUUGAGCGAAUUAUUUCUUUCAACUUCAAAGUUAUACAUGUCAUAAUCUAAUUUAAAUUUUAAAAUGCAAUUUUUGUACAAUAAAUUUAAAUUUUAGUCAAUGAUAACUAGUAUUCGAAAAAAAAAAAAUCGUUUUUCAUUUUUGUAUAUACGAAAUAGUCAUUGUAUAAAGUACGUAUUUGAUAAUUAAUUUUAUUUUACUUUUUCUAGUGUUCUGAAAAUUGACAAUGGGAAGCAUCCUGUUCUUGUUAAACACUUUGCUAGAUGGACAUAUGAACAACAAUAUGAAGAUUACAUUAGUGGUGCGAUAUUAUUAAGCAUGGAUGUUCCAUAUAACAAACUCUACACCCUACUGGCUUCUCACAUUGAUUGACCUGCAAAAAUGUUUAAUAUACUUAUGCAGUCUAUUUAUGUGUUCAUUGUCUGUUUCAUAUGUUUUCAGCUAUAUGUAUUUAUAUUAUACAUAUGCAGUAUGUUUAUGAAAUCACCUGCAGUUACAUAUGUGUCAAGCUAUAUGUAUUUAUAAUGUACAUGUGCAGUUUUUUUUUGUGUUCGCUGGGAGUUAGAUAUGGUUCCAGCUAUAUGUAUAUAUAUUGUAGCUAUGCAUUAUAUUUUUGUUCACUGGCAGUUACAUAUGUUUCCAGCUGUAUGUAUUUAUAAUAUACAUCUGCAGUACAUUUAUGUGUUCACUGACAGUUUCAUAUAUUUUCAGCUGUAUGUAUUUAUAAUAUACAUAUGCAGUACUUUAUGUGUAAAAAUCAUGUAUUCUUAUAUGUAUUUUUUUAAUAUGCAGGACAUAUAUUUUCUUUGUCAUAUGGUGUACUUGAUUCUGAAAAUGAUGCAUGUUGAAGCUGUUUUUUGAGAAUCUGAAAGAAGCAUACGGUGAAAGAAAACAUAUGUGUGUAGUUUCUGAUUGUAAUGCAAGCAUCAUAAAAAUUGGUGGCGGUGUGUACAAUGAUGUACCACAUUAUGCAUGUAUGUAGCAUCUACGGAAAAAUAUACAAUAAUAUUGUUAUGGUUAAAUAUUGCAGUUACAGUUUAAAUGUUGAUCUGUUCAUGAUGUAGCAUUGUGUCAAAAAACAAUUGCUUUAUUUUUUCACUGAUAAUUAUAUGAUUCUAAAUUUUGAUAAAAAUAUUUGAUGUUAUUGAACUUGUUAUAGUUGAAUUGUUGUAAUUUUUUUUUUUACUGAACUUGCUUAACUUAAUUCAUUAUGAAUAUAUUAUACAAGACAUAUAACAUGAUUAAUUUAUACCUAAGAAACUGGAAGCAACACUUACUAGAUUUUGAAUCUGAAAAAAUACAUAUGAGAAUCUAUUAAGUUCCUGUGUCCAUCUAUAAAAACUAAGAAUAAGUUAACAAAAUUUUAUGUAAUAAAUAAAAAAAUAUUAAAAAUACAUAUGAAGACAUAUCAAUUAUGUAAUCAAAACAUUAAAUACAUAUAUUUUUUUUAAAAAAAUAUAUGCAUUAAUCAUACAUAAAUAUGCAUUAUUCAUAGAUAUAUACACAUAAUUAAAAAAAAGUUAUGAAUAACUCAUAAAUACAUAUGAAUAUCUGCUUAAAUACAUAUGUAUAAAACUGGAUAAAUACAUAUAUAUAUGCAUAGUCAAAAAAUACAAAUCUAGACAAAUAUAUAUAUAUCCAUAGCAGAAAAUACAGGGAAAAGGCAUCGUUUCCACCCCAAACUAUACCCGAAAAGUCGAAGCCACACAAACUAUACUAGUGACCUAUUACACACCUAAACUAUAAAAAAGUGAAACUAUUUUCACCCUGUCAGGCUACCACCACUUGCAUGUGGUGUAGUGUUUUACACGCGCUGCCACGUCAAUAGCACGUCAGUAAAAAAUAUCACUUUUUCAUAGUUAAGGUGUGUAAUAGGUCACUUAUAUAGUUUAGGUGUGGAUUCGAAUUUUCGACUAUAGUUUGGGGUGGAAACGAUGACUUUUCCCUUAAUGUUUUAGCCGUUUACUUUUGUUAUUUAAUAGGUUGGACGCGCCUAAAAUAAGUGUAACACACACGCCUUAGAAUGGGGAUUACGGGGAGGUAAUAAUAUCACUUUUUUAUAGUUAAGGUGUGUAAUAGGUCACAAGUAUAGUUUAGGUGUGGCUUAGACUUUUCGGGUAUAGUUUAGGGUGGAAACAAUGCCUUUUUAAGAAUUGUAAAAAACAUAUGCAAUAUUCAUAUAUACAUAUGCAUUAUGCAUAAAUACAUAUGCAUCUGGAAAGAAAAACAUGCAUUACUUAAAACACUCAUGCAUAAAAUGGAAAAUACAAAUGCAUAUAUGAAAAAUACAUGUAGUAACUGAAAUAUAUAUAUAUUAAUUACUCAAAAAUAUAUUCAAAACUGAAAACCACAUAUUCAUACCGACAUAUGCAUAACAGUAACAUAAACUAACCAGGAAAAAUUCUAUUUUAUAGUUUUAACAUCAAAAAUCUAAAUAUCACAUCAAAUAAACGUUAACAUAUUGACUUUCAACAUUAAAGUAACAUAUGAAAUCUAAGAAAUAUUCAACUAAAUGUUAGUACACCUGAAGUUAACUGUUGUCAAAUACAACAAAUUUAAAAUAAACAUCAAAUAUCAUGCACUUCAGUAUCUUUUGUUAUUUCAAUUUUCAUAGGAGGCCUCAUUGGUGCUUCAUCAUCACUUUGUUUCUUCUCUUCUUCUUUCCUCGAACCAUAAUGCCACAACAUUGGAGCAUAUCUCGUGCGAAGAAGAUCUAAAUCAAAAUCAACAUUUGAAACACAUUCACCAAAAGUAAGGCACUGUGCAUAUGUCAUCAUAUAUAAACCACAAUACCUGCAAAUACAAAUAUAUAUCUAUACUGUAACAAAUACAUCUUAUAUAAUUCCUAAAAUACAAAUACAUAUCUUAAAUUUAACAGAUACAUAUCUUCACAUUAUAAAGACAAAAAUACAUAUAUAAACAUAUUGUCCAUAAAAUAUAAGAUUACAAAUAAAAAAUACAUAUCUAUACCGAAACAAAUAUAAAUCUUACAAUAUCAAAUACAAAUACAUAUCUACACUGUAACAAAUACAAAUCUUAUCGUUACCAAAUACAAAUACACUAUAAAAAUUACAUUUUACAGCAAUCUCGUCAGAAUAUAUCAAUCCGCCGCUACCACAUCAUCAAAAAUUUCAUAAAAACGAUGGCCAAGUUCGUUUUUCACCGGAUCUGCAAAAUCAACAAAUCACCGACUAAAAUUCAACUCUUGUGAUCGAUUCCGGCUAAUACUCGUCGGUAAAAUAUCAUUGUAUUCAUUGCCGGUCACUAUCACGGUGAAAUCGCCGGAUAGAACCUCCCUACGUCGAAAAUUCAUCGGGAAACGCCAAAAUUGAUGGAUUCAAUUGAAUCCACCAGCCCAUCCAUCGCUAAAAACAACAUCCCUUGACUGUAAAAACACAAAAAAAAUCACAAAACAUCAAAACAAAAAAAAUGAAGAAGAAAGCAAUACGAAAAAAUUAAAAAAAUAUAAAUUAUAUGAAAAGAUAGAUACAAAUACUAUGGAGGACAAUGUUUAUCAACAGAUUGAGAGAUAAAAGUGGAAAUAAAAAAAAAAUAGAUUCUCCACAGCUACUCAACAAAAUCUGUCAUCUUUUAAUAUUUCUUCACAUAAUUCUACAAUAUGAAAAUUCAAUAUGUAUCAAAAACCACAAAUAUCAUGUUAUAAGCUACGAUGCUCGAACUCUUAAAAAAUAUGGUCACACCCUUAUCGAAUUCUCUAAAAUGCCCUAUUUUUUUGAAAAGUUGGAAGCAAUAUAGAUUAUAACUCAAUGGCAUUUAAGACUCUAUGCAUUCCACUAGUGUCUAAAUUACGAAACUAUUAUUAUUAAUGUUUGCAAAGGAAGUUAGAAAAUGAACCCUUUCCUUUUCCAUUUGUUAUGCGGGGGUAAAGAAAUGGGAAUAGUAUUGGUGUGUAGAUAGAGAGAGAAUGGAGAGGUCCGGGGAAUUGGUGGGUUUUCCGUUGUUGAUGACGUGGAGUUCUCGUUACAAGGCGUGUACGAUUCCUUACAGGCUGCCUUCCGACGAUCCCACAAAGGCAACGGACACUGAGCUUUCCUGGAUCCACGUCUUCAUGAAUUCCAUCCCUUCUUUUACGAAGAGGGCCGAGACCGAUCACACUCUUCCAGAUGCUCCUUCUCGAGCACAAAUCUUUGCUCACAGGUAGGUAAACCCUCCCUCUUUCCUCUAUUCAUUAACAUUGUUCGUUUUUAUAAUUAUAUUUUGAUAGGUACACUGAAAUACUCGAGGAUUUGAAGAAAGAUCCUAAAACUCACGGAGGCCCUCCUGAUGGCAUUGUAACUCUGACCGACCAUCUUUAUAUAAUGCUCACAUACAUGCAUCCGUCAUUUCUCCCUCCUUCCUUUAUUCUCGCUUACCUUUUUCCUCCUGUCUACUCUGUUUUAGCUUCUUUGUCGCCUUAGGGAGCAAGUGCUUAGGGAAUUGGGAUUCACAGAUAUAUUUAAAAAGGUCAAGGUACGUCAUCUCUCUACUUUAUUUCAUAUGUAUAACUUGACUUGUUCUUCAUUUCUUACAAUUGCAAUUUCUCAAUGAACAACAGAUAAACAUAUAAAGGACGUUAAUAAAAAGAUGAAAUCCAUCACAAUUAUAAAAAAUGUGGAUCAUCUAAGUAGGUUCUUGGACAUACAUUUGGUUGAAACUUCAGAAAAAGCUUUUGAAGUUGAAAGAUGAUUUUUGGAAGUUGAAGUUGUGUUUGGACGUGUAUUUUUAUUGAAAAAGAGUUGGAGGUUUUGUGAGAGAAUAAAACAUUCACCGAAGAAGAGGUCAAAAUCGAUUUUCCAAACAUAAACAACGCAUCGUCAAAAACUAACCAAAAGAUUGUUCCAAUUUAUAACCAAGCAAUAUUUAGAAUUGCUGGAGUCUAUUGGAAACGACGUCUCUACCUCACCUCUGAGGUAGUGGUACGGACUGCAUGCACUCUACCUGGACCCGACUUUGUGGGAAUACACUGGGUAUUUAUAAAAAAAAAAAAGGAAAAUAUUCCUGUCUAUGAACCGGUACUUCAUGCAUGACUUUGCAAGCACACACUUCAGUCUCUCCGGUUGAUGUGAGCAUGCUUUAUUAUUCAAAUAAGCAAUCCCAAUUCUCCUUGGAGAUUUUUUGUGGAUUGACUUUUAGGUCAAAUAAAUAAGCUCAUUGCGCAUUUGAAAAUCAUUUUUGUGGUUCUUUUAACACAUUAUCCCAUGUGAAUCAAAAUUUAUAGAGGGUUUUGAUUGUUUUUUGUUGUUGGGCAUGUGUAAAUCCACUAGGACGAAGAAAAUGCAAAGGCUAUAGCUUUAUUUGAGGACGUAGUUCAGCUAAAUGAUGCUAUUGAGGAUGAAGCUAAGCGUAUGGAGAACUUGGUCAAAGGGAUUUUUGCAGGAAACCUAUUUGAUCUUGGUUCGGCACAGGUUGGUAAUGUUUCAUAUAUAAAGAGAUAUAUGUGCUUAACAUUAUUUGUUCCACUGGCUUGCCAUGACUACACCGAGGUAUGGCGUCCAUGCCCUUUCAUGAAUGACUCCUGAAUAAAGAAAUUUAUUUAUAUGACAUUUGUGCCUUUGAUUAUGUGGCAAGAGUACUCAUAUACCAAUAUCGUGGGUGGGGGUGGGGGGAGCCCAAUGCACUAAGCUUUUGUUGCGCGCGGGGUUUGAAGGAGUAAUUAAAAAUUGUGGAAAUAGUUCCUAUAAAGCAUGUAAUUUGAGAACUAAAUUUGUGUUUGUCAUAACAAGUGCUUUUUCGUUGGGUGCAUUUUGAAAGAAACCAUUUUUAAGUCUCCGCAACAAUUUAACCCCAAUAGGAAUGUCGGAAGUGCAAGUGAUCAAUGAUCUAUUUACAAUUAUCACAAAGAAGUCGGUUCAUCUUCAUCACGAGUCUGGCCAUGAUGUAUAUUUGUAUUAUAUGCAAUUAUAGUUGUGGUUAGACAUACUCGGUUGUAUGGGGCGGAGUGUUGGUCAGUCAAGAGCUCCCACGUUCAGAAGAUGCAUAUUUCGUCUUCUUGCUCACACAUAGGAAAUGAAAUAGCUUUAAGAAACCCCUUGCACUAAAGGAUUCUCACUCCCCUUGUUGACAAUCCUAAAUUCGUACAACAAUGUUCAUGAGAUCUUUAUUUUGUCUCUUUCAAGCACACUACCUUGGCUUUCACUCUCUCAAACCAAUCAUAAUGAUUAACUUCUUAUUCCCUAUAAUUUAUGCUCGUAAAACAUCAAGAGAUACACUUUUUUGAUCUUUAAUUCAACUUUUCAAGAGGUGCUCUCAUUUGUGCUGAUGUACCUAUGAGGAUUGUAUAAAUAAUUUCGUAUGUAUUCUUCCAAAUGCACUCCUAGAGAAAGUAGAAAUUGAUGCACACAAAUGCAUACUUAAUAUAAGUUUGUGUAGAGUUUUACUUCUUGAGUUAACAGAAUCUAUUCAGAUUCUUCCACAUGCUAAAAAUCUAAGUUGAUUUUUGAUAUCCUUCACUUGCUUAAAUCACAAUUAGCAUGUUGAAAAUGAACAGUUUCAAGGUUGAAUCAGUUGUUCUUAAUGAGUAUUUUUUGAAGCUUGCGGAGCUGUUUUCAAGGGAUGGUAUUUCAUUUCUAGCUAGUUGCCAAAACCUCCUCCCUCGACCUUGGGUUAUUGAUGACUUGGAAUCUUUCAUAACAAAAUGGAGCAGAAAAUCAUGGAAAAAGGUUAGUAGUGGUUAAUCAUAUGUGAAACUUGUCUUCUCGACUGAGCUUUAUGUUUUUACUUGUUUAUGAAUAAUAUCCGAUGCAUUUGAUGUAUGCUGAUUCACUGAUUUGCUUACUCCUAUACAGGUUGUAAUCUUUGUGGAUAAUUCUGGUGCAGAUAUUAUUCUGGGCAUUCUGCCAUUUACUAGAGAAUUACUUCGUCAUGGGACACAGGUUUACUUGGAAGCCUUGUUUCUUUCUUGCACAUAAAUGGGAAAUUUCUAGAUUUCACUAAACUGAAAAAGAUAAGAUAGGUUACAAAUUCUUCUUUGACAACAUCGCGAAAUUUAAAAUGCCAUCUUAUAGGCAUCUUUAACAUGCUCAAUUCUGUAGCUAUUGAUUAGAGUUAACACCUCUAAAUAUUUUAACAUGCUCCGUUCUGUAUCUUAUGAGGGUGAAUUUAUCCGCUUGUCAUUUUUUUUAGCUGCAUUCAGUUAAAUGGAGAUGGUUUAUUUUUCAGUGUAACAUUAGGUGAAUAGGUGUUCUGUGUCGCUCUUAUGCCUGAAUUGUACUUGUGGCACUUCUUUUCUUCUUCAUAAGGUUAUAAUUUGUUUUGGUAAAUUUGGGGAGUGCCUCAUACAAGUGGUGUAUCAUGAAGUAGAGAAUCUAAUCCAAAAAUACGAUUACCAACGAAGAGUAUUAGAGUACCAAAUCAUUUAUACUAACAAGAAUCUCAUAGGUAUUUCGUAUUCCAAAUGCUUAUAAAGAAAAAAGAAAUUUGGCACCUUGAGUUCAUCACUGUUAUCUUAUUUCUAUUCCCUCAAUCCAAUGAGACUAAGGAGUUAUAGGACAGAAACUCUGAGGAUAUUGCCAUAUAGUUAAAAGUUCAAAAAUACUUAAUAGACCAGAUUUUAAGUAUGAAUGAAGCCUCAUUAUACAUUAACAGUUUUCAUAUUCAUAGACUUGAUAAUCUGUGGCAUAGCCAGGUUUUUUUAUCAAGGGUGUUCAUACUUUUAGAACUAAGAGGUGGAAAAAAAAGAUUGCUAUACUUGGGGAUCGAACGCACACGGCUGGGGUGAAUCUGCACACCCUUGGCCGCUGGGUUGUUGUUGCUUCCUGUGUCAAGAUUGUUCAGUUAUUACAUAUAUUUUAAAAAUAUUAUAUAUAAUCUAUAUACUCGAAAAAAAAUUCGGACGAAGGUUGUUCAUUUGACCAUGCUUGCGACAACAUAGCUCCGCCCAUGUUGAUAAUUCUAUGAAGUUGCAUCAGAUUGGAUUAAGCUUUGGCUGUUGUUGAGUGUUCACAACUCAAUUAAGCUUUCCUUGUAAUUGAUGUUGGCAAUCUUUUUUGUCUUUGCAGAUUAUUUUGGCAGCUAAUGACUUACCUUCUAUUAAUGAUGUUACUUACCCGGAGUUGGUAGAAAUAAUAUCCAAGGUGGUAGAAAUGUUAUGUUUCGAUGUUUGAUGCUCUCAAGUUUACCUACUUUAGGUUUAAUUAACAUGUAUUUUUGCUUAUUAACAGUUGAAAGAUGAGCACGGGAAGCUUGUAGGUGUGGACACAUCGAACCUUUUAGUUGCAAAUUCUGGAAAUGAUUUGCCGGUUAGGGGAAAUCACUUAUCUGCUUCAUUUGAAUGAUAUGUUGUCCCCCCCACCCCCACCACACACAUGCACACACACUCCUCAAAGGAAGAAAAGGGUGGAAUCCUGUGACUUAUUUCUGAACCCUAGAUUGCGCCUCUAAAUUGAGGUUUGCGACGAGAGUCGAGCAUUGACCACACAUAAUUUCUACUUCCUAGCUUGUUAAUCUUCGCUCGAGCUAAUAUUCGAGUAGCUAUUCCUUCACAAACUCUUAUAUAGUAUAAUUCCAGCAUUUACAAAUUUAAUUAGUAAAUCCCCCAAAAUUAUAUGUUCACAAAAACUCAAUGCAUCAAAAGUUAACACAAUAAAAGUAAAGUUGCUAAAUUGCCAAAAAUGGGUACUUUCUCCAGAAUUUAUGAACAUAUCUAGCUGCUCUGCCUUAAUUGACAGGCUUAUUUCACUGUGACCACAGGUUAUUGAUCUUACGAGAAUAUCACAAGAGCUUGCCUACUUGGCGAGCGAUGCUGACCUUGUCAUUCUGGAAGGCAUGGUGAGCCUUUUGCUGUCAAUGCUUUGUCACCGGCACCACAGCUUUUGUUUCUUACCACAACACCAUCAGCAAUAUACGUUAUAAAUUCUAUCCAUAUUUACUAUGAUCGCCAAGGCAUACUUUACCCGAUUGCAUUUUCUUAAAAUUGAGAUAAUACCUUUUAUAGAAAUUUCUUCUGGCCGAGCUACAACAAUUACACCAAUUAAAGCAACUAGAAGAAUUAUUGAAAUCAGUUCAAAUGGAAGAAAUAUUGGUUGCAAGUGGCUCUUUCUUGAGGGCAUGCAGUUAGAUUAAGGCAUAGGACUGGCAAUGAUGCUUAUGUAGGUGGGAACGUAUCUCUUACCCCUGGCAUCUCUGGAAGGUUCUCCUGCCCCCAUCCUGGAUCCACUAACUUUUCGUUCUAUUGCUCCCCCGUAUAAUCACAUAGAAAGAUAACUACAACAACAACAUACCCAGUGAAAUCCCACAAGUGAGGUUUGAGGAGGGUAGAUUGUACGCAGACCAUACCACUAACUCGCGAAGGUAGAGAGACUGUUUCCAAAAGACCCUAGACUCAAGUGUAGCAAAUCCAAGUAUAGAGAAGAAGGGAACAAUGAAAAAAAUAUAGCAACUAACAAGAAACAAGAACAACAACAAAAUAGUGCGAUAGUCGAAACACAAUAAACCACAGAGUAUGAUAGAUAUCACAAGCAUGGACUACAAUACUAUGGCUAGUACAACGACAAACACCAACAAGCCCAAAGCUCAAAAAGCGAGACAACACUUCUACCCGACUUGCUUUCUGUGCUAAUACAUAUGCUCCAUAGCCUAGUAUCUAAGGUAAUGUCCUUGUUAACUUGAAGUUGCAUCAUGUCCCAUCUAAUUACCUUCCCAAUACUUUUUCCGCCUACCUCUACUUCUCAUCGUAUUGACUAUAUCCAACCUCUCGCACGUCCCAUCUCAAUCUCGCUUCCCUCAUCUUGUCCACCACGAAGGCCACUCCACCUUUUCUUGAAUAACCUCAUUCCUAAUCGUAUCUCACCUAGUAUGCUCACACAUCCACCUCAGCAUUCUCAUCUCCGCAACAUGUAUCAGAGAUGGGAGUUUUUGACUGGCCAAAACUCCGGCCCAUACGUCGGUCUAAUCACAUAGAAAGAGAUGAAUGUAAAUUUAUUUUUGCCUCCCAAAACUUUUGUUGCUAACCAGUUCUCUCCUUUUCUUUUUCUUUUUUCUUUUUUUUUUUGGCGUGAGGGGGAAGGCUUUUCUAGAAUUUAAACUACAAACCUCUAAUGGACUAACUCAAGAAGACUCUCUUCUAUCUGAUUUUCCAUGUGUGAGGUAUGCUAAACAGUUCUCUCCUUCUCUGUAUACUUAAAAAACCCAGUCACUCUUUUUUCUUUUUGACAAUGGAAAACCCAGUCACUCCUUGACUUCUUAAUAUGCUAAAUCAGUCUCAUGUUUCAGUGAAUGCAUAUGUUUCUUGAGAAAGUAUCCUUUCUCAAGGCAAGUACAAAAGGGUUUCCACUUGGCAUACCCUGAUUACCUUCCUGAUUUGUAAUCUCUGAUUGGAGCUGUAUUGUGUAUGUAGUGUAUAGUUUUCCCGAAUUUUCAGGUUUCAAAAAGAUAAUUAUUACCUGAAUAGCAACUGAUUUGACUCAACAACCAGACCAUUUCCCAUAAUUAAGGGUAUUUCCGAUAUGAAGGAAAAUGUUUUCCGUAGAAAAUAAAUGGGUUUCUUACUUAUUUUUUCGGGUUCGGUAUGUAUGCAAAAAAUAUUAUCCUAAAAUCAUUUGUAUGUAAUCUAGACAAAUACUAUCAGAGGUGGGGGUUGGUGGUGGGGAUGUGAGCUACAGGGGUGGGGUGAAGAUGAGUUAUCGUGGAGGUUUGGGAGGACACAAUCAAUGUGGAAUGCUACUUGUAGAACUUGUUUUACAUACUUCCAUUAAGUCAUUUUCCUCAUUUUUAAGCAACUUAUCUUCCUACAGAAAAUAUUUUUCAAAAACUUUGACCAGCCGAACACGAGAAAAUUGGAAAACACUUUCCAGAAAAUGUUUUCCUCCACACGGAACACACCCUAAGAUUGAGGUGGUAGUUCUUCCUUAGGUACCAUGGAGCUUGUAAAUACUGUGAACUUUCUUCCGGGCUGCUUUCAAAUAACCAUUUGACAAAAUAUCAAAACAAAGUGAAUAAUGCUUUUGUCAACGUCAUAUAUGCAAAAUUCUUUAAGUUGUCAGAUUUAAGUAAUUGUACUUUUCAUAAUCUCUCUCUCUCCCUCUAACUCACUGACACUUAGCUAUCAUAUUGAUUUCUUUUGCCAGGGCCGUGGUAUAGAGACAAACCUUUAUGCUCAAUUCAGAUGUGAUUCCCUGAAGAUUGGAAUGGUAAUGCCUUAUUUAUAGAUGCGCAUGCCAAACCCACCCACCUGAUGCCAGCACUCUUCACCUUCUGGCUUCCUCAGGGAACAAAGAGGGGAAGAACUCCCUUUUUAAGGGAUUUUGUCACUAUAUAAUCCGGCUGGAGGUGGGGAUAUAUUUCACCUGAUGAUUAUAAUAUUGAUGCACCUCAGCCCUUUUUUUCUGGUGUUUUCAGGUGAAGCACCCAGAGGUUGUUGAGUUUCUUGGAGGAAGGCUUUAUGAUUGUGUUUUCAAAUAUAACGGAAUUUUGGAAUAGAUAAAGUUGUUGACUGCUCAUAUCCUGCAACUAGGCACACUCAACAAAAAUAGGAUUCUUGUAAAACUAUUUAGUAGAUAUCACUUGCAAGAUCAAGGAACAAUGUAAAAUUAUUGAACAGAUUUUAGUGGACAUCACUAGUAAGAACACUGCAGAAUCUGGUUUAAGAUUGUUAGUUUGCUAUGAAGCAUUUCUAUCCAAUGCUAUUGUGAACAUGUGAGUGACGGGUAUGGCAACUGAAAUCUGCAGUGUCCUAAUAGUUGUUCUAUAGCGCUCUGAGCAGUAACUGGUAAGCUACAAGAUCGUAUGUGUUGUUGGCAGUUGGCUGGGCAUUUCAGGACAGCAGUGCUGUUUUAUAAUUUGCUAAACUGUUAAUUACUGUCAAUUUGAGGCAAUAACAGCAGGACAGAUUUUAAAGAAGGAAAAUAGCUUGGUAAUCGAUUGAUUGGUUUGUGAAGCCAUCCCCGACGGUAAGCCGUUGUAUUUCUGACUCACGGUGCUAUGUGGCAUAGUGCCUUUGUUUCAUUCGGAAUAUGUUGAGUCAAGUGCAUCAACUGACCACACAAAUUUGAAGCACUUUAUUUCUCCUUGCCACUCUGUAACUUUGGGUGCACAAGGAUUUAAAGUGGAACAGGAAGUAGUAGCACAGUUUUUUAGGUGAGACUUAGGGGUUAAAAUAAAAGGAGUGUACAAGUGUAAUUGAAAUAUGUACAGGCUGGGUGUUGGUGAGGGAGGGGCAAAAGAGUCUCACAAAUAAUAUAUAGGAGAAGAACAUAACAGGCUGUCAAAUGGGAAACGUAGGAAUGUGCGGGUGACGGUGAAUGAGCGAUGACCACGCACCUCACCUCGUUUAUUUAUUUAUAUAUAUUGCUGUCCUAUACUCGAGAGUUAUUAGUUGGCGCCUGGCGGGGGGUUUUCAUAUCAUCAUUUCUUGUGAUCUCAGACUAUAUAUUAAUUAUUAGAUUGAUUUCUUCUAUCAUACUAAUCAGCAGCAGCAUGAGCUCUCUUGUUCAAAGUUUUAAGAGCAAGGAGGCUCUGCCCAUGUCCAUGUCGCAAGGAGGAGGAGGAGGAGUCCGCAAAAGGUUGUCUUCUCUCUCUCUAAGGAUGAACAUGCGCACCCGUGAACAGCCCAUCCUCUCCUCAUGGGCAUUUCGCCGGUCGGCCGACAAUUCCAUUCGGAAAUGGUGGGACUGGGGAUUGGGUUGGAUCAUGUCCAAGAAGCUCACAUUUGCCAAGGAUCUGGAAAUGAGCGAAGAGGAGAAAGCCGUAUUGGGAUGCAACAGCAAGGGCACCUGGAUCCACGUAUUUUACAAAGUAAGGUCGGAGCUGCGGAGGCUCGUGCGGCAACAAUGUCGGUCUGCCUCAAACCUUCCGCUAUGAUUCUCCCCUCCCCUCUACUGCACCUAGCAGCAGCUCCUUUUGUGAUGUUUGGUUAAUUCAUUGAUUGGUUGAUUGAUUCAAGACAAGUCUACUAGAUCGGAGUUAAAACGUCCAGCCAAAAUUUGUUUGCCUACCUAAAUGUAUAAAGUGAAUUAUUAUUGAGUUCAUAGCGGUCGGUCCUGGAGGCAGGCAUUGUAUUAUGUAAUUCUUUUGUGUCAUAUUAUGUACUUUCUUUCCGUUUGAUAUUAUUACGAGUAUUAUUAUGUACUAUAAAUUUUGGUUGGCCAAACAGUCGCCUCUCCGAUUUGGGAUUCAGCACUAAUGAUGUAUACAGUCAACAUUAGAAUAGAAUAGAAUAAUUGAAGAAGAUGUCGGCUGGCAGGCACAUGGAGAACUCGGAUCACCGACAGCUACUUUGCUCUGUAAAUGGGUGUCGGUGGCCGAAUAUGCCCUUUGGUCUUACUAGCGUGCGUCGUUUGGUUUGAAAACAAGUUAUUCCGGUAUUAGUUGUGUUGGGAUAAGUUAUGCUGAGAUUAUCUUUUAUUGAGUGUUUGGUUUGUUAUAUUCAAAGUAAUAUGCAUAAUAUAAUUUUUAGGAAUAAAUUGAUUAAUUAUCAAAAUACCC